AGGCGAAACGCCCCAUUGGGGCGUCCGGGGAGGGUGGCGCCCCCCCGCUGAUGAGCCAGCCAAUG
rnacentral:hammerhead_ribozyme from 1 species